GACGGGGCGGGUGCUAUAAUGCAAGUCGAACGCUUUGUGGUUCAACUGAUUUGAAGAGCUUGCUCAGAUAUGACGAUGGACAUUGCAAAGAGUGGCGAACGGGUGAGUAACACGUGGGAAACCUACCUCUUAGCAGGGGAUAACAUUUGGAAACAGAUGCUAAUACCGUAUAACAAUGACAACCGCAUGGUUGUUAUUUAAAAGAUGGUUCUGCUAUCACUAAGAGAUGGUCCCGCGGUGCAUUAGCUAGUUGGUAAGGUAAUGGCUUACCAAGGCGAUGAUGCAUAGCCGAGUUGAGAGACUGAUCGGCCACAAUGGGACUGAGACACGGCCCAUACUCCUACGGGAGGCAGCAGUAGGGAAUCUUCCACAAUGGGCGAAAGCCUGAUGGAGCAACGCCGCGUGUGUGAUGAAGGGUUUCGGCUCGUAAAACACUGUUGUAAGAGAAGAAUGACAUUGAGAGUAACUGUUCAAUGUGUGACGGUAUCUUACCAGAAAGGAACGGCUAAAUACGUGCCAGCAGCCGCGGUAAUACGUAUGUUCCAAGCGUUAUCCGGAUUUAUUGGGCGUAAAGCGAGCGCAGACGGUUAUUUAAGUCUGAAGUGAAAGCCCUCAGCUCAACUGAGGAAUUGCUUUGGAAACUGGAUGACUUGAGUGCAGUAGAGGAAAGUGGAACUCCAUGUGUAGCGGUGAAAUGCGUAGAUAUAUGGAAGAACACCAGUGGCGAAGGCGGCUUUCUGGACUGUAACUGACGUUGAGGCUCGAAAGUGUGGGUAGCAAACAGGAUUAGAUACCCUGGUAGUCCACACCGUAAACGAUGAGUGCUAGGUGUUUGAGGGUUUCCGCCCUUAAGUGCCGCAGCUAACGCAUUAAGCACUCCGCCUGGGGAGUACGACCGCAAGGUUGAAACUCAAAGGAAUUGACGGGGACCCGCACAAGCGGUGGAGCAUGUGGUUUAAUUCGAAGCAACGCGAAGAACCUUACCAGGUCUUGACAUCCCUUGACAACUCCAGAGAUGGAGCGUUCCCUUCGGGGACAAGGUGACAGGUGGUGCAUGGUUGUCGUCAGCUCGUGUCGUGAGAUGUUGGGUUAAGUCCCGCAACGAGCGCAACCCUUAUUACUAGUUGCCAGCAUUCAGUUGGGCACUCUAGUGAGACUGCCGGUGACAAACCGGAGGAAGGUGGGGAUGACGUCAAAUCAUCAUGCCCCUUAUGACCUGGGCUACACACGUGCUACAAUGGCGUAUACAACGAGUUGCCAACCCGCGAGGGUGAGCUAAUCUCUUAAAGUACGUCUCAGUUCGGAUUGUAGGCUGCAACUCGCCUACAUGAAGUCGGAAUCGCUAGUAAUCGCGGAUCAGCACGCCGCGGUGAAUACGUUCCCGGGUCUUGUACACACCGCCCGUCACACCAUGAGAGUUUGUAACACCCAAAGCCGGUGGGGUAACCUUCGGGAGCCAGCCGUCUAAGGUAGCAA
rnacentral:rRNA from 1 species